rnacentral:lncRNA from 1 species
UAAUUUGGACCUCCCGAUACACCUCCUAGGCUACUAUUUUGAUAAAAAUUAUUAAUUUUAAAUAUUAAUACUUUUUACGUAUUAUUUUAAUAUCGAAUAAAUAAUGACGUGUAAAAUUCAUGAUUUUAAAAUAUGCAAAUUAUUUUAUAUACUUUUUAUUACCAUUUUUACAUUUACUAAUUCAAUUAUAAUAUUUUACAUAAAUUCAUCAUUUUUCGUAAAUAUGCA